CUUGUAGAUCUCACACUCUUCACUUUGCUGUUGUUCACAUCGGCUUCUUGACCCUCAAUCUCAGGACAAGCAAGAUGAAGCGUCUUGUGGCCUUGGCUUUGUUGAUGCUGGUGGUCUACAUGGCCGAUCCUGUUGCAGCAAAGCCCAGCUACGACUGGCUAAAGCCUGUCGUGAAGCAACAAUAUGGAGGCUACAUGCAUGGCGGUGGUGGUGGUGGCGGUGGCGGUGGUGG